GCUGGACAUGGUGGUGUAUGCCUGUAAUUCCGGAGACUCUGGAAGCUGAGACAGGAGGAUCACAAGUUUGAAGCUAGCCUCAGCAACUUAGUUAGACCCUCAACAAUUUAAUGAGACCCAGUCUCAA
rnacentral:sRNA from 1 species